GACGAACCGUGCAAACGUUAUUCGGAAUCACUGGGCUUAAAGGGCGCGUAGGCGGGCUCCCAAGUCGGUGGUGAAAUCUUUCGGCCCAACCGGAAAAGUGCCGCCGAUACUGGGAGCCUCGAGGGAGGUAGGGGUCGGGGGAACUCUAGGUGGAGCGGUGAAAUGCGUAGAUAUCUGGAGGAACGCCGGUGGCGAAAGCGCUCGACUGGACCUCUUCUGACGCUGAGGCGCGAAAGCCAGGGGAGCAAACGGG
rnacentral:rRNA from 1 species